GACGAACGCUGGCGGCGUGCUUAACACAUGCAAGUCGAGCGGUAAGGCCCUUUCGGGGGUACACGAGCGGCGAACGGGUGAGUAACACGUGAGCAACCUGCCCUUCUCUUUGGAAUAAGCGUUGGAAACGACGUCUAAUGCCGAAUAUGACCCCCUGUCGCAUGGUGGGGGGUGGAAAGCUCUGGCGGAGAAGGAUGGGCCCGCGGCCUAUCAGCUUGUUGGUGUGGGUAAUGGCCCACCAAGGCGACGACGGGUAGCCGGCCUGGGAGGGUGACCGGCCACACUGGGACUGAGACACGGCCCAGACUCCUACGGGAGGCAGCAGUGGGGAAUAUUGGACAAUGGGCGAAAGCCUGAUCCAGCAACGCCGCGUGAGGGAUGACGGCCUUCGGGUUGUAAACCUCUUUCAGCAGGGACGAAGCGAGAGUGACGGUACCUGCAGAAGAAGGACCGGCCAACUACGUGCCAGCCGCCGCCGUAACAC
rnacentral:rRNA from 1 species